rnacentral:tRNA from 1 species
GGCUCGGUGGUGUAGUUGGUUAUCACGUCAGUCUAACACUUCACAACUGUUAGUUCCACUGAAGGUCCCGAGUUCAAACCUCGGCUGAGUCA